GAUGAACGCUGGCGGCGUGCCUAAUACAUGCAAGUCGAGCGAACGGACGAGAAGCUUGCUUCUCUGAUGUUAGCGGCGGACGGGUGAGUAACACGUGGAUAACCUACCUAUAAGACUGGGAUAACUUCGGGAAACCGGAGCUAAUACCGGAUAAUAUUUUGAACCGCAUGGUUCAAAAGUGAAAGACGGUCUUGCUGUCUCUUAUAGAUGGAUCCGCGCUGCAUUAGCUAGUUGGUAAGGUAACGGCUUACCAAGGCAACGAUGCAUAGCCGACCUGAGAGGGUGAUCGGCCACACUGGAACUGAGACACGGUCCAGACUCCUACGGGAGGCAGCAGUAGGGAAUCUUCCGCAAUGGGCGAAAGCCUGACGGGGCAACGCCGCGUGAGUGAUGAAGGUCUUCGGAUCGUAAAACUCUGUUAUUAGGGAAGAACAUAUGUGUAAGUAACUGUGCACAUCUUGACGGUACCUAAUCAGAAAGCCACGGCUAACUACGUG
rnacentral:rRNA from 1 species